UCUCAUCCAGAGCAGCGGAGGGAACGGCCCGAUGAAACUGCGGCAACCCUUGCGCAGCAAAACGGUGCCAAUUCCUUUAGGCAAAGCCUAGAAGAUGAGA
rnacentral:ncRNA from 1 species